UAAAACAAGCUCAAACCAACAAAAUAGAAAAAAAUUCAACAAUGGAUUUUACAAAGAUGCUACAAAGAAUCAAGAACAAAAAAAUAUGAGGAUGUAAUCAGGAAGCACUUUCUCCUCACUAGAAACCAGAACCGGUGCGUAGAUCCGCCGUCGAAGUGUGUUGUUUCCUCACCGGCGAGCUUUUCUCCAUCGCAAUUUCACGAUUCCACACUAAAAAUCAACAAAAACUCAGUAAAAAUCCAAAGAAAUUGCGAUAAAAAAAAGAGAGAGAGAGAGAGACAGAGAGAGUACGUUGUUGUAGGGUAAUAGCUUCGAAGCAACAACAAUGGCGGAUUUGGUAUAAACGAAUUCAAGAGACAAAGGAAGAGUAGAAGCUAA
rnacentral:lncRNA from 1 species